GCCACAGCAGCACAGAGCAGCCUGCAAGGGCACCGCACUGGGAAAAGGAGAGGUGCCUUCCAGAUUCAGCUCAGGGAGACGCUGUUCUCUGAGCUACAAACACAGCAGUCAAGACACUGAUUGAUGGUUGUUCCCUGGUGCUGCAGAGACUGGUGGAUGCACCUGGUUUGUUGUGACGUGUAAGUCUGGGCAGAUGCUGGCUCUGAAAACAAUUUACCUGUAUUUGAUUGACUCCCCUGUUUAUUCAUCAAAGCCUUUAGAAUAAAGUCCGGACAAGUGUUUUAGUGCUGAA